CGUUUGAGACCCAGCGUCUCUAGAUCUCGUAUUUGAAUUUGUGGCGCUUGGUGUCCGCGAGUUGCCGAAUGAAGCUGAGCGUCUCAGUGGAACCAGGGAUCUCAGGGAGGGGAAGGUAUAAAAUUUUCAAAUGGAGGAGUAUACCUGAACCUAAUCAUGGAUGUGAUUUUAUGUAAGUAAUAUGUGAGAUACAGAUAAGCUGAUUCUAAAACUUACAAGAAUGGCAAAGAAACAAGAAGAGCUUAAACUGCAAUCAUCAACAGAGAAGCUUUCUGCAACCAAAGUGAAGACUGAAGCCUUAGGCUAUGGCAGAAGUUGGGCGCCUGAAGUACACGUGGAAAUAUGCCAACUGAACAUUGGACUACCACGUCAAGGGUCUCCUACCCCUGGGCCAUGGAUCAAUACCAGUCUGUGACCUGUUAGGAACCGGUAGCAGGAGAGACAGGGUCUGGCUUUGUUGCCCUGGUCUUGAACUCCUGGCUUCAAGUGAUUUUCCUGCCUCAGCCUCCUGAAGUGCUGGAAUUACAGGCAUGAGCUGCCACACCUGGUGAAGUAUUUCACUUUUUAAAGGAUUGUUAAUGCGCCUGCCCCUGGCUCAGCGCCCGGUGCCAACAGAACACCUUUCAGGAUCCACAGCAACGCAGACAACGGAACUCACAAGGGCUUCGGUUCUCAAGAGGCCAUCAAAACAUAACUGCUGCCGAGACAAUACCUUUCCUUCCCCUCACUACAUUCACUGAAUGUUCUGGAUCAGUGCGUCUCACACCUUUGGAUCUUAUAAGCUACUUGGAAAAAUUUUAAAGCACCUGAUGGAUUUGGAAAAUAUUUAAUGAAGACAAUGAUGCUGACAUCUCAAGUUAAAAGGUUCUACAGAGAAGGCAAAGAUUUUGAAGGCACAGGAGACUAUCAUAGAUAUUCACAACGGCAUCUCCCUAAAGGAUUUGAAAGCUUUGCAUCAACCAAAGGAAAAGCACCAGUGAGAGUCAAGAUACAGUUCCAGACAGGUGCUACUUCUUAUUCAAAAGGCCUCAUCAGUGAAAAGAAGGACUGACUUCCAGUUCCAGACAAGUGACUGAGUAGAUUUUGACAGACAGGCAUGGAGCAGGCAGGCUGGCUGGAAACUUCAGUGAUUAUAAAAGUUAAGGAGCCUUUCUGAAGAUGUAAUUGGUUAAGAUAAGAUCAUACUGGAUGUGGAUGGGUCCUAGAUCUGACUGCUGAUAUCCUUAUAAGAAGAAGAAAGGACACGCGGAGACUACAGUGAUGUUGCCACAAGCCAAGAAAUGCCAAGAAUUUCGGGAGCCACCAGAAGAUGGAAGAGGCAGGGAAAAAUCCUCCCCUAAAGCCUUCAGAGAGAGCAUAGCUCUGCCAACACCUUGAUUCUGGACAUCUAGCCUCUUAAACUUCCUCAGGUGUCUCAUUUCUUCUGUCUCAGAAGUCAUGGAUGUCAAUGAAGAUAUGGAAUUCACUUAUUCAUUCUUAUAAAUAUUACUUAGUGUCCUUGUGCUUGGCACUGUGCUUGGUCAUUGAGAUCUACUGUUCAAAAGCAAGAUAACAUACAGGCUGGAUGCUUCAGGAGCAGAGGAUCUAUCAACUGCAGACCAAGCACAGGGAGACGCAGGCAAACCUGGAACAGUAACCCAGCCAGCUCCAAUUGCUCCGACAGUACUUGGUGGCCAGAGAGUCGGCAGCAGAAAGCAUGCCCCGGGCCGUGAAGCAGGAAAUCGACUCUGACUCAAUCCUUGAG
rnacentral:lncRNA from 1 species